UACGUAGGGUGCGAGCGUUAAUCGGAAUUACUAAGCGUAAAACGUGCGCAGACAAUUCGCCAAAUCAGGUAUGAAAUCCCCAAACUUAACCUAGGAAUUGCACUUGAAACUAGCGAGCUUGAGUGUGGCAGAGGGGGGUGGAAUUCCACGUGUAGCAGUGAAAUGCGUAGAGAUGUGGAGGAACACCGAUGGCGAAGGCAGCCCCCUGGGUCAACACUGACGCUCAUGCACGAAAGCGUGGGGAGCAAAC
rnacentral:rRNA from 1 species